GAUGAACGCUGGCGGCGUGCCUAAUACAUGCCAGUCGAGCGAACGGACGAGAAGCUUGCUUCUCUGAUGUUAGCGGCGGACGGGUGAGUAACACGUGGAUAACCUACCUAUAAGACUGGGAUAACUGCGGGAAACCGGAGCUAAUACCGGAUGAUAUUUUGAACCGCAUGGUUCAAAAGUGAAAGACGGUCUUGCUGUCACUUAUAGAUGGAUCCGCGCUGCAUUAGCUAGUUGGUAAGGUAACGGCUUACCAAGGCAACGAUGCAUAGCCGACCUGAGAGGGUGAUCGGCCACACUGGAACUGAGACACGGUCCAGACUCCUACGGGAGGCAGCAGUAGGGAAUCUUCCGCAAUGGGCGAAAGCCUGACGGAGCAACGCUGCGUGAGUGAUGAAGGUCUUCGGAUCGUAAAACUCUGUUAUUAGGGAAGAACAUAUGUGUAAGUAACUGUGCACAUCUUGACGGUACCUAAUCAGAAAGCCACGGCUAACUACGUG
rnacentral:rRNA from 1 species